ensembl:snRNA U2 U2 spliceosomal RNA
AUUACUUCUUAGCCUUUUGCUAAGACAAAGUGUAGUACUAGUUCAGUUUAAUAUCUGAUAUAUUCUCCAUCUGAGCACAAUAUAUUAAAUGGAUUUUUGGAGCAGAAAGCUGGAAUAGGAGCUUGCUCUAACCACUCCGUGCAUUGACCUGGUAUUGCAGUACCUCCAGGAAUGGCACAACCCUG